UGAUGUGAAGGGUUUUUUUUUCCCCUUCAGGCAUUGAAAAGGAAAAGAUGAAAUAUAUGUUUAUAUAUAACUGUGUUUCUGCAUACCUCACUGAAGUCAAAACGCACUUAAUUGUUCUACCGCCCUCCCUCCGUGGCCGCCGGCACUGGGUGAAGCGGGAGGAGCUCAGGUACCCUGCCACAGAAAAGUACUGGGACUGAGCAAAAGAAAGAGUCCGCUUCCUUUAGACCCGCUUUGAUGGACCGCUGUGAUGGAAACGGAAUGGUCCCGCAGGAAAACGGCAAAAGUCAAACCUUUCUUCCCUCCUGACUGCCUUUUCACGAUGUCCUGACACUUGUGCGUCGGCCGGCUCUGAGUGCCGUGCGGUGUCGGGGCCCCGGCUGUUUGAGCAGAAUUGCCCCGACAGCUUUCCUGGCCGACUGUCUCUCAGAUUAUAGAUUUGUCACCCCAGCUGGCGUCCUCCUGCCCCUGGGUCGGCUCUUGGGCCUUCCCACCAGCGCCUUCUCUGAAUGAGAGUCGUUUGAAUUUUAGACGAAAUUAGAUACGAUGAGUAAAUUAAAAUGGCCUGGG